UGAGCACCCGCUGAAUUUAAGCAUAUAAUUAAGCGGAGGAAAAGAAAACAACUGUGAUUCCCCAAGUACCGGCGAGGGAAAAGGGAUUAGCCCGAGACUGAAUCCCGUGGCGGGUAACUGCUAUUGGGAAAUGUAGUCCAUGGGCCGUGAGUCAACCGGCAGAAGGCUGUCCAUGCUCUGAGGAUCUCGGAGCGCAACGACCGUUACACGCGGACUUUGGGACUGGCUGGAAGCUAGAUGCUUGCGUGCCUGCGAGUAGGUCAGCUUGAGAGUGCUGGCUGAAUUUGGGUCGUGAUGGCGAUCUAAGGCUAAAUAUCGAACAGGAGACCGAUAGCAGACAAGUACCGUAAGGGAAAUCUGAAAAGC
rnacentral:rRNA from 1 species